AGCGAACGCUGGCGGCAUGCCUAACACAUGCAAGUCGAACGAGAUCUUCGGGUCUAGUGGCGCACGGGUGCGUAACGCGUGGGAAUCUGCCCUUUGGUUCGGAAUAACAGUUGGAAACGACUGCUAAUACCGGAUGAUGACGAAAGUCCAAAGAUUUAUCGCCAGAGGAUGAGCCCGCGUAGGAUUAGCUAGUUGGUGUGGUAAAGGCGUACCAAGGCGACGAUCCUUAGCUGGUCUGAGAGGAUGAUCAGCCACACUGGGACUGAGACACGGCCCAGACUCCUGCGGGAGGCAGGAGUGGGGAAUAUUGGACAAUGGGCGACAGCCUGAUCCAGCAAUGCCGCGCGGGUGAUGAAGGCCUUAGGGUUGUAAAGCUCUUUUACCCGGGAUGAUAAUGACAGUACCGGGAGAAUAAGCUCCGGCUAACUCCGUGCCAGCAGCGGCGGUAA
rnacentral:rRNA from 1 species